GGGACACGUGGUAUCCUGUCUGAAUAUGGGGGGACCAUCCUCCAAGGCUAAAUACUCCUGACUGACCGAUAGUGAACCAGUACCGUGAGGGAAAGGCGAAAAGAACCCCGGCGAGGGGAGUGAAAAAGAACCUGAAACCGUGUACGUACAAGCAGUGGGAGCACCUUCGGGUGUGACUGCGUACCUUUUGUAUAAUGGGUCAGCGACUUAUAUUCUGUAGCAAGGUUAACCGUAUAGGGGAGCCGCAGGGAAACCGAGUCUUAACUGGGCGUUAAGUUGCAGGGUAUAGACCCGAAACCCGGUGAUCUAGCCAUGGGCAGGUUGAAGGUUGGGUAACACUAACUGGAGGACCGAACCGACUAAUGUUGAAAAAUUAGCGGAUGACUUGUGGCUGGGGGUGAAAGGCCAAUCAAACCGGGAGAUAGCUGGUUCUCCCCGAAAGCUAUUUAGGUAGCGCCUCGUGAACUCAUCUUCGGGGGUAGAGCACUGUUUCG
rnacentral:rRNA from 1 species